rnacentral:rRNA from 1 species
UACAGAGGGUGCGAGCGUAAUCGGAAUUACUGGGCGUAAAGCGUGCGUAGACGGUUAUUUAAGUCGGGUGUGAAAGCCCCGGGCUCAACCUGGGAAUUGCAUUCGAGACUGAAUAGCUAGGGUACGGUAGAGGGAAGUGGAAUUUCCGGUGUAGCGGUGAAAUGCGUAGAUAUCGGAAGGAACAUCAGUGGCGAAAGCGACUUCCUGGAC